UCUCCUGAGCCGCUCCCCCAACGCCCCACCUCCCUCAACAAUCAAAAUCCAGAUCUGCACAUGAACAUCAAAGAUUCAAGGUCUGAACAUGGAAUAAUCAAUAUACGAACAUCAAAGGUCAAGAUCUGAACAUCGAAGAUCUUAAAAUACGUAUAUUGAAGGUUUAUUUCCAACUUUCCAUUCGAUUUUGUUCAACGAAGGUUAUUUGUUCUAUUUUGGACAUGAACAAUUUUGAUUCUGUUUCAGAUGGUGGUUUGGAAGUUGGAAGGAUGGCUUGAAUCGGAUGGAUUGGAAUAUGAAGAUUAUUGGUUUAUUUUGAGAUAAUGUUGAAUAUUUUUUGUUAUUUUGGAACGAUGAUUAUGUUAGGUUUGUUUUAUUUAACAUUAGAUAUUUUGUUUGGCAUUUGGUUUGUUGGAAAAAAAAAGACACUUUUGUU
rnacentral:lncRNA from 1 species